UUCGGACUGUAGGCUGCAACUCGCCUACACGAAGUCGGAAUCGCUAGUAAUCGCGGAUCAGCAUGCCGCGGUGAAUACGUUCCCGGGCCUUGUACACACCGCCCGUCAAGCCAUGGGAGCCGGGAGUGCCUGAAGUGCGUGACCGCAAGGAGCGCCCUAAGGCAAGACCGGUGACUGGGGCUAAGUCGUAACAAGGUAAC
rnacentral:rRNA from 1 species